UACAGAGGGGGCAAGCGUUGUUCGGAAUUACUGGCGUAAAGGGCGCGUAGGCGGCCUGUUAAGUCGAACGUGAAAUCCCCGGGCUCAACCCGGGAACUGCGUCCGAUACUGGCAGGCUUGAAUUCGGGAGAGGGAUGCGGAAUUCCAGGUGUAGCGGUGAAAUGCGUAGAUAUCUGGAGGAACACCGGUGGCGAAGGCGGCAUCCUGGACCGAGAUUGACGCUGAGGCGCGAAAGCCAGGGGAGCAAACGGG
rnacentral:rRNA from 1 species